GACGAACGCUGGCGGCGUGCCUAAUACAUGCAAGUUGAGCGCUGAAGGUUGGUACUUGUACCCACUGGAUGAGCAGCGAACGGGUGAGUAACGCGUGGGUAAUCUGCCUUUGAUCGGGGGACAACAUUUGGAAACGAAUGCUAAUACCGCAUAAAAACUUUAAACACAAGUUUUAAGUUUGAAUGAUGCAAUUGCAUCACUCAAAGAUGAUCCCGCGUUGUAUUAGCUAGUUGGUGAGGUAAAGGCUCACCAAGGCGAUGAUACAUAGCCGACCUGAGAGGGUGAUCGGCCAAAAUGGGAAGGGGAAAAGGAACAAAAGCAUAAGGGAGGCGGAAGGAGGGAAACGUGGGCAAUGGACGAAAGUCUGAACGAGAAACGCCGCGUGAGUGAAGAAGGUUGUAGGAUCGUAAAACUAUGUUGGUAGAGAAGAAAGAUGGUGAGAGUGGAAAGCUCAUAAAGUGACGGUAACUACCCAGAAAGGGACGGCUAACUACGUG
rnacentral:rRNA from 1 species